rnacentral:rRNA from 1 species
UACGUAGGGGGCUAGCGUUGUCCGGAAUCAUUGGGCGUAAAGAGCGUGUAGGCGGCCCGGUAAGUCCGCUGUGAAAGUCGGGGGCUCAACCCUCGAAUGCCGGUGGAUACUGUCGGGCUAGAGUGCGGAAGAGGCGAGUGGAAUCCUGGUGUAGCGGUGAAAUGCGCAGAUAUCUGGAGGAACACCGGUGGCGAAGGCGGCAUCCUGGACCAUUACUGACACUGAAAAGCGAAAGCCAGGGGAGCAAACGGG